UUUAAGGUCUGACCUGCCCAAUGAGGGUUUAAAUGGCCGCAGUAUUUUGACUGUGCAAAGGUAGCAUAAUUAUUAGUUUUUUAAUUGAAAGCUUGUAUGAAGGGUUGGACGAGAUAAAGUCUGUCUCUAUUUAGAUUAAAAUAGAAUUUAACUUUUAAGUCAAAAGGCUUAAAUAUUUAUAAAAGACGAGAAGACCCUAUAGAUCUUUAUUUGGAUUGAAUUUUGAUAAUUUAGGAUUAUUUUAGUUUAAAUUUCAAACUAAAUUUUAUUGGGGUAAUAUAAAGAUUAAAUAAAUUCUUUUUAUUAAUAACAUUAAUUUAUGAGUUUGUGAUCCAUUAUUAGUGAUUAUAAGAUUAAGUUACCUUAGGGAUAACAGCGUAAUUUUUUUGGAGAGCUCAUAUCGAUAAAAAAGUUUGCGACCUCGAUGUUGGAUUAAAAAUUAGCUUGGGUGUAGAAGCUUGAGAUUUUGGUCUGUUCGACCAUUAAAUUUUUACAUGAUCUGAGUUCAGACCGGCGUAAGCCAGGUCGGUUUCUAUCUUUAUUUGAUUUAAAUGUUUUAGUACGAAAGGACCAAAUAUUUAAUAUAUUUAUAUUUAUUUUUUGAAUAAUAAU
rnacentral:rRNA from 1 species